UGCCAGCCGCCGCGGUAACACGUAGGCAUCAAGCGUUAUCCGGAUUUAUUGGGCGUAAAGAGCUCGUAGGCGGUUCGGUAAGUCGGAUGUGAAAACUCUGGGCUCAACCCAGAGAGGCCACUCGAUACUGCUGUGACUAGAGUGCGGUAGGGGAGCGGGGAAUUCCUGGUGUAGCGGUGAAAUGCGCAGAUGUCAGGAGGAACACCAGUGGCGAAGGCGCCGCUCUGGGCCGUAACUGACGCUGAGGCACGAAAGCGUGGGGAGCGAACAGGAUUAGAUA
rnacentral:rRNA from 1 species